ACGAUAAAGAGUGGAGCCAGAGGAAUGAGAUAAAAAACAGCUGCAGAUAACUCCCAGUAACAACGCAAAUAAUGCUGAUUGGAGCAACCUUAAACAGCUCCGGUAACGCAGCAAGGUCCAGAAAUUUGUGUGGGAACUUAUUACUAUAAAAGAAGGGUGUGUUGCCAUGGGACUUUGGAUUCGUUCUGCAUCAACAUCGGAGCUUUGAAUGUAUUCGACAGAAGCCCAGCUCCUCUCCCUCGUGUGCAGUUUCAGCUGGCCACUGGAACUGACUGAGCAACACUAAAGACUGCGGAGUCCAAAAUCGUGACCAAAACAGUCACAGUGGAUCAUUGUGGGACACCUCCUAGAGGCCACUAAAAGUUGAUGAUCUGAGGAGAGCAGGGAUUGAAAGGAUGGCAGGGAGUUUUUCUACGGAGUCAUUGAGAGCAACAGAAUAGAAACACUGAGUUAUCACCAUCUGUUCAUCAGAAACUCUUUAACGAGAGGGAUACGUGUCAUAGAGAUUCCCUGACAAAUCUAAGAAAGAAGAAAAAGGCAAAGAGGGUUUUCAAGCUUAAGAAGACAGCUUUCAAACUCAGAGUAUUAGUUGAACAUCAUGAAGUAGGGCUGAAAACGAAAAGUGAAAGAGCCAAAGCAGAGAGAAAGAAACAGAGAAGCAAAUUCUAGUGUGUGAUCUCAGGAACUUCCAGGGCUAGAAACAGUUGCUGUGUGUCCCACUGGAAAGCAGAGGAAUCUUUCUGUUCCAAUGAUGAUAGAAUAUGACCACCUCAUGGCCUCAACACCUAAGAUGAUAUAAAACCACCAGAAUUGAAAUGCUCCUGAUGGUCAAUCCGCAGAACAUGUUGUGUGCUUUAAACAAGAAAGGGUGAAAGAUUAAUCGUUUUAUUCAGGGAGAGCUGAAGGAGCCAUUAGAGAUGGCAAGUCCAUGCCUUAUUUUGGAAUUUUUUUCUUCUGCCCUAAUUAUAUUCCAGACUUUAAUUCUCCACUCACUUUAAUUAAGUUAGACUCAAACAUUAGAGAAGGUAACAAACAUAAAAUAAAACAAGGAACAUUCCUGCCAAGUAGCCUUUUUCUAGUUCUUAGAAAUUUAUUUCAUGCAUUAUUUCCAUAGAUACAUGAAUUUGUCCAGGAUUUGACAUAAAAAUGCUAUUAGAAUCUCUUUUUUCCCCAAGUACUGUAAACAUAUGUCUUUGGUCUUUCCAGCAUAUUAAUAUUUUACAUCUACUGAUGACUGCAUUUUGUACAUAUAUUUUAUUUCUAAUAUUUCUCCUUAAUGCUCUGUGUAUAAGGACAAAACUAUGCAGGCAUAAAUUGUAGCUAUGAGGCAGCAUUUAUAUUCAUUAGUGCUAGACAGUCUUUUCUAAUAAAUGUGUUCUUGGAAGCUAGUUUAACCAUGUUUGGUUAAUGCACUUCUCAAAUGUAGGACAUCUGUUUUUGAGUCCCAGUCUAUUCACAACUCUCCAUUUCAGAGCUGACUAGAUUUGCUAGGGA